UACAGAGGGUGCAAGCGUUGUUCGGAAUUAUUGGGCGUAAAGCGUGCGUAGGUGGUUCGUUAAGUCUGUCGUGAAAGCCCCGGGCUCAACCUGGGAAUGGCGAUGGAUACUGGCGGGCUAGAGUGCGGUAGAGGAGAGUGGAAUUCCCGGUGUAGCAGUGAAAUGCGUAGAGAUCGGGAGGAACAUCAGUUGCGAAGGCGGCUCUCUGGACCAGCACUGACACUGAGGCACGAAAGCGUGGGGAGCAAACAGG
rnacentral:rRNA from 1 species